GUGGGGAAUAUUGGACAAUGGGCGAAAGCCUGAUCCAGCCAUGCCGCGUGUGUGAAGAAGGUCUUCGGAUUGUAAAGCACUUUAAGUUGGGAGGAAGGGCAGUAAGUUAAUACCUUGCUGUUUUGACGUUACCGACAGAAUAAGCACCGGCUAACUUCGUGCCAGCAGCCGCGGUAAUACGAAGGGUGCAAGCGUUAAUCGGAAUUACUGGGCGUAAAGCGCGCGUAGGUGGUUUUGUAAGUUGGAGGUGAAAUCCCCGGGCUCAACCUGGGAACUGCAUCCAAAUCUGCAUGACUAGAGUACGGUAGAGGGUAGUGGAAUUUCCUGUGUAGCGGUGAAAUGCGUAGAUAUAGGAAGGAACACCAGUGGCGAAGGCGACUACCUGGACUGAUACUGACACUGAGGUGCGAAAGCGUGGGGAGCAAACAGGAUUAGAAACCCCGGUAGUCC
rnacentral:rRNA from 1 species